rnacentral:ncRNA from 1 species
CUCAGGUCUGUGGUUGCAAGUCGAUGCCAGUUGCAGGCGAAACGAUCCACGUAAACAGCCGGAAAUAUGGCUGCGAGCACGGUGCAGCUUAGAAGUAAGUCCUGCCGCAGAAAAUUUAUACGCGAGAGAAGCAGUAGUGGGGAGCGCAAGGCUUAGGAGCGAACCUUCCAGCAGGCGAGUGUGGGGGCGAAGACCAGGUCAGCUGAG